GACGAACGCUGGCGGCGUGCUUAACACAUGCAAGUCGAACGGGUCUGCCCUGUUUUUUGCGGGGUGGGUCAGUGGCGAACGGGUGAGUAACACGUGAGUAACCUGCCCCUCACUUCUGGAUAACCGCUUGAAAGGGUGGCUAAUACGGGGUGUUCUGGCUGUGCCGCAUGGUGUGGCUGGGAAAGAUUCACUUUUGUGGUGUUUUGGUGGGGGAUGGGCUCGCGGCCUAUCAGCCUGUUGGUGGGGUGAUGGCCUGCCAAGGCUUUGACGGGUAGCCGGCCUGAGAGGGUGGGCGGUCACACUGGGACUGAGAUACGGCCCAGACUCCUGCGGGAGGCAGCAGUGGGGGGUAUUGCACAAUGGGCGGAAGCCUGAUGCAGCGACGUCGCGUGAGGGAUGGAGGCCUUCGGGUUGUGAACCUCUUUCGCCGGUGAAGAAGGUCCUGCUCUUUGUGGUGGGGUUGACGGUAGCCGGGUUAUGAAGCGCCGGCUAACUACGUG
rnacentral:rRNA from 1 species